rnacentral:rRNA from 1 species
UACGAAGGGGGCUAGCGUUGUUCGGAAUUACUGGGCGUAAAGCGUGCGCAGGCGGCUUCUCAAGUCAGUGGUGAAAGCCCAGAGCUCAACUCUGGAACUGCCUUUGAGACUGAGUGGCUUGAGUACGAGAGAGGUGAGUGGAAUUCCCAGUGUAGAGGUGAAAUUCGUAGAUAUUGGGAAGAACACCGGUGGCGAAGGCGGCUCACUGGCUCGUAACUGACGCUCAUGCACGACAGCGUGGGGAUCAAACAGG